UAAAUCUAACCCUAGCCCCGCCACCCAAAACCAUCCCUAGUCCAUCCGAUCCUCACUCGAUCCAUGGGUUUCCAUGGGUAUUUGAGACACAUAUUGAUCUUCUACGUCUCCUGGUUUUUCGUUCUUAUAAUUUCCUGAAAAAAUCUUGAAGAGAUCUAACCAUAUCUGGUUCGACACUCUCUGAGAGUCCCUCUAUGCUUAUAAGUGUUGUUACUUCGAUGCUUUUACGGUCCAAAUCUCUUGUUUGAGACUGGAUUCCCUUUACCCUUUCGUUCUUUCUCCAAAACCCUAAUUUUUAAACAUGGAUCCUUUCAUAUCUUUGUAGAUCUGGAGAGAUUCCAAGUUCGUCACCAAUUUUUCUAUAAUGUUCUUCUGUUUCCCUACUGAUUAAUUAAUUUUUUAGCACAAUAUUACUUUAUAUUUUUGCGUUGUUUGUUAUAUGCUGUUCGAAACUCUGGAUACUUGAAAUAUUUUCAAGUUUCCAUGAUUUUUCUUUAAGUUUCUCUUAUUCCUUUACUAUUAACCGAU
rnacentral:lncRNA from 1 species